UACGGGGAGAGCAAGCGUUGUUCGGAUUUACUGGGCGUAAAGGGCGCGUAGGCGGCCAGCGCAAGUCAGUUGUGAAAUCUCCGGGCUUAACUCGGAACGGUCAACUGAUACUGCGCGGCUAGAGUGCAGAAGGGGCAACUGGAAUUCUCGGUGUAGCGGUGAAAUGCGUAGAUAUCGAGAGGAACACCUGCGGCGAAGGCGGGUUGCUGGGCUGACACUGACGCUGAUGAGCGAAAGCCAGGGGAGCGAACGGG
rnacentral:rRNA from 1 species